CAUAAAAUACCCAGCAACAUGUUAUUCUUUCAUAAUACACAAAAUGUAAUGCCUAUAGAAAUUGAAUAGCAAAACUGGCCUUCCUUUAGGAGCAUAAAUUAUCUCCAAUUUUUGCCAUUGUUAUACAUAAGAUCAAGAUGCACCACAUAGAUGGGGUUUUGGUAAUACUGGUUGAAAUUUCAUAGAACCAAACUCUUCUCUUUAAGAUCAGAAAAUCAAACUGGAAAGCGGUAUCUCCCUGCUUAGCUUCAUCUAUACAAGGGACUGAGGCAGUUGAGCAUAGAAGAAUUGAUCUAGAGACAUGUACACAAUAUUUAUUUUAUUUUAUUUAUUUAUUUCCAGUAUUUCUACCCCACCCUUCUCCCCAAGGGGACUCAGGGCGGGGUAGAAAUACCGGAAAUAAAUAAAUAAAUAAAUAUAAAUACUGUAAAUAAAAAAUUAAAUAAAUUAGUCUAGUUAACCUCUUCCUUCCUGUAUUUGAAACCUCCCUCUUCCUGUCCAUUUCAGUGAUGGAGCCUUAGCCAAGUCCUUCUAGUUCCUUGAGGAGUCAGGCAGUGUGGUAUUGGAAAGUGAAGAGUAAGGAAGGUGGAAGAAUGACAAAAUAGAAUGUCACAUCAAAGUUACACAAGUCACAGUGAAGUUACACAAGCCACAGCGAGGCCACACAUGUCAUACAUGUUACAUCAAAUCUAUAUAAAAAUACAGUAGAGUCUCACUUAUCCAACACGCACUUAUCCAAUGUUCUGGAUUAUCCAAUGCAUUUUUGUAGUCAAUGUUUACAAUACAUCGUGAUAUUUUGGUGCUAAGUUCGUAAAUACAGUAAUUACUACAUAGCAUUACUGCGUAUUGAACUACCUUUUCUGUAAAAAUUUGUUGUAUAACAUGAUGUUUGGUGCUUAAUUUGUAAAAUCAUAACCUAAUUUGAUGUUUAAUAGGCUUUUCCUUAAUGCCUCCUUAUUAUCCAACAUAUUUGCUUAUCCAACAUUCUGCCGGCCCGUUUAUGUUGGAUAAGUGAGACUACUGUAAAGACACAAAGUAAAGCCACAUUGGAAAUAUAACAGAUCGAGAUCCAAUUGAAGCUAUAUUAAAGUAACAUCAAGUCAGAACUGUUGUUGUGCUUCAAGGACUUUAACUCUCUUCACAAACACUGGCAAUAAAACUCUGGAGGAGGAGAAGUUUGAGAUCUUUUAUUUAUUAAAUUGUUGUUUUUACUUCAAAUGUGUAGUAUUUGAUCUAUUCCCUACAUCACAGACACCUUCUAAAUAAAUAGCUAGUGUGGGGGCAGAACAGUCUCCCAUCAAUUGCACAACUGCUUCCCAGUAAGUGGGCAUUGGAGGGGUCAGGGCAAUAUUCACUGUG
rnacentral:lncRNA from 1 species